rnacentral:rRNA from 1 species
UACGUAGGGGCCUAGCGUUGUCCGGAAUUAUUGGGCGUAAAGAGCUCGUAGGCGGUUCGGCAAGUCGGAUGUGAAAUCUCCACGCUUAACGUGGAGGGGCCAUUCGAAACUGCUGUGACUCGAGUCCGGUAGGGGAGUGUGGAAUUCCCGGUGUAGCGGUGAAAUGCGCAGAUAUCGGGAGGAACACCGAUGGCGAAGGCAGAUCUCUGGGCCGUAACUGACGCUGAGGAGCGAAAGCG